rnacentral:tRNA from 1 species
ACUUUGUUAGUAUAAAAAUUACACUUGACUUCCAAUCAAGAAAAUCCUUUAAGGAACAAAGUA